UUAUUUCUUUUUGAGUCAUAUGAAGAAAAAAAUAAACUUUGGUUUAAGCUUGUUAGCUUUACUUUUGUACAAUAGCACUUGUCUUACUGAACCACAUAAUGAAAUUAGAAGCUGCCAGAUGUCAAUCAGCGUGGCCCCAGGUUUGGGACCCUCCUCUGGAAGAAAAACGAGUGACUGAAAAUGAGUGAAGGCUUUCCCCAGUGCUGUUCCCAACAGCAUCCAAUGUGUAGACCCCUACAUGCAAAGAGACCCCAAUGCCUUCUCAGUUCCACAUGCUGUCGAUGCCUCAGAUCGUCCUGGUUGCUGUCUAUACUCACCUUGUUGACUACCCAAAGAUAUGGACCUGCUGAAUUCUUGACCUCCAUAAAGUCAAUGGUCUUCACCCCAUCCGCAUUUUGGCCAUCUUUUCCCUGGCCACCUCUCAGACCUUUGCACCAUCCCAAAGCACACUGCCUUCUAAAUGUGAGAUGUGCCUUGUUUACUUUUUACUUCUGAUUUGAUUCCUAAUUUUUUGUUUUAUUGUGUGGAUACUAUGCAUAUAAAAGAAUAUAAAGAAAGUGUACAUGUAUAUAAAAAAUAUAAGCAUGUCACCCAGCAUAGUAAAAACACUUUUAUCCGAGA
rnacentral:lncRNA from 1 species